rnacentral:misc_RNA from 1 species
GAUGAAGAACGUAGCGAAAUGCGAUAAGUAAUGUGAAUUGCAGAAUUCAGUGAAUCAUCGAAUCUUUGAACGCACAUUGCGCCCCUUGGUAUUCCGGGGGGCAUGCCUGUUCGAGCGUCAUUAUAACCCCUCAAGCUCAGCUUGGUGUUGGGGCCUGCCGACCGGCAGCCCUUAAAAUCAGUGGCGGCGCCAUCUGGCUCUAAGCGUAGUAAUUUCUCUCGCUAUAGAGUCCCGGUGGAUGCUUGCCAGCAACCCCCAACUUUCUAUGGUUGACCUCGGAUCAGGUAGGGAUACCCGCUGAACUUAAGCAUAUCAAUAAGCGGAGGA